rnacentral:tRNA from 1 species
UGGCCCCAUCGUCUAGCUCGGCCUAGGACACCAGGUUUUCAUCCUGGUAACAGGGGUUCGAAUCCCCUUGGGGUCAA